rnacentral:rRNA from 1 species
GCGGUCAUACCAGCACUAAUGCACCGGAUCCCAUCAGAACUCCGCAGU